rnacentral:rRNA from 1 species
UCCAGACUCCUACGGGAGGCAGCAGUGAGGAAUAUUGGUCAAUGGGCGGAAGCCUGAACCAGCCAAGUCGCGUGAGGGAAGAAGGCCCUGCGGGUCGCAGACCUCUUUGGACGGGGAGCAAGGCCGCCGACGUGUCGGCGGAAGGAGAGUACCCGUAGAACAAGCAUCGGCUAACUCCGUGCCAGCAGCCGCGGUAAUACGGAGGAUGCGAGCGUUAUCCGGAUUUAUUGGGUUUAAAGGGUGCGUAGGCGGAAUGCCAAGUCAGGGGUAAAAUCGCGGGGCUCAACCUCGCUCCGCCGUUGAAACUGGCGUUCUUGAGUGGGCGAGAAGUACGCGGAAUGCGUGGUGUAGCGGUGAAAUGCAUAGAUAUCACGCAGAACUCCGAUUGCGAAGGCAGCGUACCGGCGCCCAACUGACGCUGAAGCACGAAGGCGUGGGUAUCGAACAGGAUUAGAUACCCCGGUA